rnacentral:rRNA from 1 species
UGCGAGUCGAGAGGGUUCGGCCCUCGGCAGACGGCUCAGUAACACGUGGAUAAUCUGCCCUAAGGUGGAGGAUAACCUCGGGAGACUGAGAAUAAUACUCCAUAGGUCUAGGAGGCUGGAAUGCAUCUAGACUGAAAACUCCGGUGCCUUAGGAUGAGUCUGCGGACUAUCAGGUUGUAGUCAGGGUAAUGACCUGACUAGCCUACGACGGAUACGGGUUGUGAGAGCAAUAACCCGGAGAUGAUAUCUGAGACACGAUAUCAGGCCCUACGGGGCGCAGCAGGCGCGAAAACUUCACACUGUGCGAAAGCACGAUGAGGGAAUCCCAAGUGCUGGCUCGUAAGAGUCAGCUGUUUCUCUGUCUAAAAAACAGAGAGAGUAAGUGCUGGGUAAGACGGGUGCCAGCCGCCGCGGUAAUACCUGCAGCACGAGUGGUGGCCGCUAUUAUUGGGCCUAAAACGUCCGUAGCCGGUUUAGUAAAUGCCUGGGUAAAUUGUGUAGCUUAACUAUACGAAUACCGGGUAGACUGUUAAACUUGAGACCGGGAGAGGCUAGAGGUACUCCUGGGGUAGAGGUGAAAUUCUGUAAUCCUAGGGGGACCACCAGUGGCGAAGGCGUCUAGCUAGAACGGGUCUGACGGUGAGGGACGAAGCCCCUGGGG